rnacentral:rRNA from 1 species
UACGUAGGGGGCGAGCGUUGUCCGGAUUUAUUGGGCGUAAAGAGCGCGUAGGCGGCUUAUCAAGUCGUGCGUGAAAUACCUCGGCUCAACCGGGGCACGUCGUGCGAUACUGGUAGGCUAGAGGCCGGUAGGGGGAAGUGGAAUUCCCGGUGUAGUGGUGGAAUGCGUAGAUAUCGGGAGGAACACCAGUGGCGAAGGCGGCUUCCUGGACCGGUCCUGACGCUGAGGCGCGACAGCGUGGGGAGCAAACAGG